UGGGGAAUAUUGCACAAUGGGCGAAAGCCUGAUGCAGCAACGCCGCGUGAGUGAUGAAGGCCUUCGGGUUGUAAAGCUCUGUCUUUUGGGACGAUAAUGACGGUACCAAAGGAGGAAGCCACGGCUAACUACGUGCCAGCAGCCGCGGUAAUACGUAGGUGGCAAGCGUUGUCCGGAUUUACUGGGCGUAAAGGAUGCGUAGGCGGAUUUUUAAGUGAGAUGUGAAAUACCCGGGCUUAACUUGGGUGCUGCAUUUCAAACUGGGAAUCUAGAGUGCGGGAGAGGAGAAUGGAAUUCCUAGUGUAGCGGUGAAAUGCGUAGAGAUUAGGAAGAACACCAGUGGCGAAGGCGAUUCUCUGGACCGUAACUGACGCUGAGGCAUGAAAGCGUGGGUAGCAAACAGGAUUAGAUACCCUGGUAGUCCACGCCGUAAACGAUGAGUACUAGGUGUAGGAGGUAUCGACCCCUUCUGUGCCGCAGUUAACACAAUCAAGUACUCCGCCUGGGAAGUACGAUCGCAAGAUUAAAACUU
rnacentral:rRNA from 1 species